rnacentral:lncRNA from 13 species
CAAGAGUCCAUUGUGAAGCUGAGAACCCAGAGGUUCAGAGCAGUGACAAGAACUUUCUCUGCAGUGCAGCCGGCAUUGACAGUUCUAGCUGUCUCUUCAUUGACUGCUGUGCCAUCCAAGGUAUGAGAUGCUGUGAUCCAGUCCUGAAGGUGAAUUUUCUCUUUCUCUCCAGGGAAGAAACUGCCCAUGGGAAACUGCCCUCCGAAUCCUCAGUGCUGGUCCCUUAUUGGGAGCAAAGUUGGAGGUCUCUUGCUGCUGUUGCUGUCUCCUGGGUAGAACUGGAAACCAGCAGACUCUGCCUCUGGCCACUAGGAAAAGCUAAUGAUUUUCACCAGGGCCACUGGGACUGUCUCAGCCUUAGCUGGUAAAGAAAUCAAGAUAGAAGAGAUUUUUCCUUCAUUGGACAUCUACUGAGUACAAAUUACUGUCCAGAGUUCUCUAUGAAGUUAAUCUCUUAAUUUUUACAAUAUACCUAUCAGAGAAAUGAGUGAGGGAACCCAGUUGUGUCUGCUUGUUUCACUUCUGCUAACAUCCCAUCUGCCCAAGCAAGUCACACAUUGAUCCUAGGGUCAGAGAGGCAUGGAAUGGGCCAGAGGAUACAGAUACAGGAACAGAUACGAAUACGUCUGGAUGAAAGUCCUUGGUUUAGCAUAUACAUGACCAAAUGUGAGUUGACUAUUUCACUUUUAAUACUGGCUUUUAGUGAACAUUUUUUUUUCUUCCAGCCAAAUGCGUCUUUUUUUUUUUUUAACUUUAAGUUUUGGGGUACAUGGGCAGAAUGUGCAGGUUUGUUACAUUUUUUAAUUGAAUGAAGCUAUGCAUUAAUAUAUUUAGCAUGUAUAAUUUGUCUUUUUAUAUUUAGUGUUUCUGUUUAAGAAAUCUUUGCCUAAUCUUAGUUAAUAAAAUUAUUCUUUUAUGUUUUCUUCUAGCA